rnacentral:rRNA from 1 species
AGAUUGAACGCUGGCGGCAUGCCUUACACAUGCAAGUCGAACGGCAGCACGGGAGCAAUCCUGGUGGCGAGUGGCGAACGGGUGAGUAAUACAUCGGAACGUGCCCAAUCGUGGGGGGAUAACGCAGCGAAAGCUGUGCUAAUACCGCAUAAGAUCUACGGAUGAAAGCAGGGGAUCGCAAGACCUUGCGCGAAUGGAGCGGCCGAUGGCAGAUUAGGUAGUUGGUGAGGUAAAGGCUCACCAAGCCUUCGAUCUGUAGCUGGUCUGAGAGGACGACCAGCCACACUGGGACUGAGACACGGCCCAGACUCCUACGGGAGGCAGCAGUGGGGAAUUUUGGACAAUGGGCGAAAGCCUGAUCCAGCCGUGCCGCGUGCAGGAUGAAGGCUUCGGUGUAACUGCUUUGUACGGAACGAAAGUACUCUUUCUAAUAAAGAGGAUCAUGACAGUACCGUAAGAAUAAGACACCGACUAA